rnacentral:rRNA from 1 species
GGUUACUGCUAUCGGUGUUCGCCUAAGCCAUGCGAGUCAUAUGUUCUUCGGAACAUGGCGUACUGCUCAGUAACACGUGGAUAACCUGCCCUUGGGUCCGGCAUAACCCCGGGAAACUGGGGAUAAUUCCGGAUAACGCACAUAUGCUGGAAUGCUUUAUGCGUCAAAUGGAUUCGUCCGCCCAAGGAUGGGUCUGCGGCCUAUCAGGUAGUAGUGGGUGUAAUGUACCUACUAGCCUACGACGGGUACGGGUUGUGAGAGCAAGAGCCCGGAGAUGGAUUCUGAGACAUGAAUCCAGGCCCUACGGGGCGCAGCAGGCGCGAAAACUUUACAAUGCGGGAAACCGUGAUAAGGGGACACCGAGUGCCAGCAUCAUAUGCUGGCUGUCCGGGUGUGUAAAAUACACCUGUUAGCAAGGGCCGGGCAAGACCGGUGCCAGCCGCCGCGGUAACACCGGCGGCCCGAGUGGUGAUCGUGAUUAUUGGGUCUAAAGGGUCCGUAGCCGGUUUGGUCAGUCCUCCGGGAAAUCUGACGGCUUAACCGUUAGGCUUUCGGGGGAUACUGCCAGACUUGGAACCGGGAGAGGUAAGAGGUACUACAGGGGUAGGAGUGAAAUCUUGUAAUCCCUGUGGGACCACCUGUGGCGAAGGCGUCUUACCAGAACGGGUUCGACGGUGAGGGACGAAAGCUGGGGGCACGAACCGGAUUAGAUACCCGGGUAGUCCCAGCCGUAAACGAUGCUCGCUAGGUGUCAGGCAUGGCGCGACCGUGUCUGGUGCCGCAGGGAAGCCGUGAAGCGAGCCACCUGGGAAGUACGGCCGCAAGGCUGAAACUUAA